rnacentral:rRNA from 1 species
AAAUUGAAGAGUUUGAUCAUGGCUCAGAUUGAACGCUGGCGGCAGGCCUAACACAUGCAAGUCGAACGGUAACAGGAAGAAGCUUGCUUCUUUGCUGACGAGUGGCGGACGGGUGAGUAAUGUCUGGGAAACUGCCUGAUGGAGGGGGAUAACUACUGGAAACUGUAGCUAAUACCGCAUAACGUCGCAAGACCAAAGAGGGGGACCUUCGGGCCUCUUGCCAUCGGAUGUGCCCAGAUGGGAUUAGCUUGUUGGUGGGGUAACGGCUCACC